AGGGCACCACCAGGAGUGGAGCCUGCGGCUUAAUUUGACUCAACACGGGAAAACUCACCCGGCCCGGACACUGGAAGGAUUGACAGAUUGAGAGCUCUUUCUUGAUUCAGUGGGCGGUGGUGCAUGGCCGUUCUUAGUUGGUGGAGUGAUUUGUCUGGUUAAUUCCGAUAACGAACGAGACUCUAGCCUACUAAAUAGAUAGUCGGCUUACAAACGUCGACUAGACUUCUUAGAGGGACAGGCGGUGAUUCAACCGCACGAAACAGAGCAAUAACAGGUCUGUGAUGCCCUUAGAUGUCCGGGGCCGCACGCGCGCUACACUGAAGUGAUCAGCGUGCUUUUUCAGCCUACUCUGUCAAGAGUGGGAAACCCAAUGAACCUUCUUCGUGAUUGGGAUAGGGGAUUGUAAUUAUUCCCCUUGAACGAGGAAUUCCCAGUAAGCGCGAGUCAUAAGCUCGCGUUGAUUACGUCCCUGCCCUUUGUACACACCGCCCGUCGCUACUACCGAUUGAAUGUUUU
rnacentral:rRNA from 1 species